ACCCAACUGGCUCAGUCAGUGGAGCAUGCAACUCUUGAUCUCAGGGUUGUGGGUUCAAGCCCCAUGUUAGGUG
rnacentral:tRNA from 1 species